rnacentral:rRNA from 1 species
GACGAACGCUGGCGGCGUGCUUAACACAUGCAAGUCGAACGGAAAGGCCCUGCUUUUGUGGGGUGCUCGAGUGGCGAACGGGUGAGUAACACGUGAGUAACCUGCCCUUGACUUUGGGAUAACUUCAGGAAACUGGGGCUAAUACCGGAUAGGAGCUCCUGCUGCAUGGUGGGGGUUGGAAAGUUUCGGCGGUUGGGGAUGGACUCGCGGCUUAUCAGCUUGUUGGUGGGGUAGUGGCUUACCAAGGCUUUGACGGGUAGCCGGCCUGAGAGGGUGGCCGGCCACAUUGGGACUGAGAUACGGCCCAGACUCCUACGGGGGGCAGCAGGGGGAAAUAUUGCACAAUGGGCGGAAGCCUGAUGCGGCAACGCCGCGUGCGGGAUGACGGCCUUCGGGUUGUGAACCGCUUCCGCCUGUGACGAAGCGUGAGUGACGGUAAUGGGUAAAGAAGCACCGGCUAACUACGUG